CUUUAAUGUGUAGCAGUGGUGAUGGCGAGGUUAAAAUGUCACUUAUGACUUCAUUUUCCACAUGACAACAACUUCUCAUAGUGUAUACACAAAACUAAACAGCCUAUACAAAUUACAUAGCCACACAACCCAAACAUGACAGCCAACAUGACUAAUAAUUCUGAAUAACUGGGUGAGUUCAAAGGUCAAAAUCAGAGUUUAUUAUACAACCUUUGAUCUAUUGUGUGUCAGGACAGGUGUGUGUAUCACCCAGACUAUGAUCUCAGCUGAGAAACACACACGAAGAACACUUCACAGAGACAUCAUGUUCAGAAUUUCUGUGUUGAUCUGCAUCUCUCUACUGGUUUAUGGCAACUCAGCCAAGCCAUACAAGUCCUGGGAUAAAGUGGCUGAGUAUGCAGUCCAGGAGACUCUGAUGUCUGAAAAGGAGAGGGUGAUGUUUGAUCUGGGGCUGAAGCAGGUGGAGGCUCCUGAAGACAUGGACAUCACUAACAAUGACAUCCACCCUGUCAUGGCCAUCUGGAAGAACAUGAGAGGGGGAGGUGGGAAUAGACAGAAGGUAGAAAAAGAGGUAGUCCAAGGCAGAUACUCCACAACCGAGGAGGACAUGGACCAUCUAUACCACCCAUCCAUGGAGCAGACCCACGAGGCUGACCUGGCCAGAGCCCGAUCUCAGCCAGAGGACACCUUCGUUGGGAUGGCCAUCCAGACAGAGCCCCUAGAGGAGGAUAACACCAAGUACUACCAGGAGGCUGGGAUAGAUCUAGAUAACAUCUCUCAUCUCUUCUCAGGCCAGGUGGAUCCACGACACCCUGAAGAGGACUGGGACGAACUCUACCAUCCAGAGAUGAAAAGGGGAGACGGGCAGUACCAAGUGGACGUGCCUCACCAGGGGAAGCUAGCUGCUGUAGGGGCAGAGGUCAAGGGUCAUAGUGAGCCAGAGGAAGACAGGGAUGACCUCUACCAUGGUGACCUGCCUGUACCUGUUCAGGUGAAUGGGAGUGGCCAGGACAGGCAGCAGUCUGCCGAUCGGCCCUCUCAGAGGAUGUACAGAGAACCAGAAGAGGACCUGGAUGACCUCUAUCAUCAUUAA
rnacentral:lncRNA from 1 species